CCCUCAUUUCCCCAAACACACACAACAGCAGCAACACCCCCCCUUCUCCCACGUUUCUGUCACCGCCGCCAACUUCACCGCCGCCAAUCUCACCGCCGCCGGCCUCAGUACCACCACCAUCUGCCGUUUCUCGCUCUCUCUCUCUCUCCCUCUCUCUCUCUCUCUCUCUCUCCGUACCGCCGCCACCACCGCUGCGGAUCCGCUUCCGCUGCGGAUCCGCCACAGUCACCGUCGCCGACGCCCUCCCCAGCCGCCUAGGAUUCCUCCAUCACCUCGUGCAGCUCCUCCCCAGCCGUGCGCGUCGCUGCCGCCGCUAGACAUGCACAAGCGGCGGCUCCGGCAUCUCCCCCUAUACCGUUGCUUCACCACCGGUAGCCUCUCCCACACUCUGCGACCAUUGACUCCCUUCUCCGACAACGCGGCAACCGCCGUCCACCUCCCCCAGUUGGAAAGAACCCGGUUCAAGCUCGUGGCUACCCGCACUGAAGUACCCGAUUUGCUUAGAACGUAGGAUGUAUUAAAUUUUUCUGAAUGUAUUAGAUUAAAAUUUUAAAAUUUUGGAAUCUUAUUUAUUUAUUUAAAUUUAUUAUAAUUAUGCAUA